rnacentral:rRNA from 2 species
UGUCUGGGAAACUGCCUGAUGGAGGGGGAUAACUACUGGAAACGGUAGCUAAUACCGCAUAACGUCGCAAGACCAAAAAGGGGGACCUUCGGGCCUCUUGCCAUCGGAUGUGCCCAGAUGGGAUUAGCUAGUAGGUGGGGUAACGGCUCACCUAGGCGACGAUCCCUAGCUGGUCUGAGAGGAUGACCAGCCACACUGGAACUGAGACACGGUCCAGACUCCUACGGGAGGCAGCAGUGGGGAAUAUUGCACAAUGGGCGCAAGCCUGAUGCAGCCAUGCCGCGUGUAUGAAGAAGGCCUUCGGGUUGUAAAGUACUUUCAGCGGGGAGGAAGGGAGUAAAGUUAAUACCUUUGCUCAUUGACGUUACCCGCAGAAGAAGCACCGGCUAACUCCGUG